UACGGAGGAUCCAAGCGUUAUCCGGCUUUCUUGUUUUUCCCUUUUUCUUAGGCGGCUUAUUAAGUCAGGGGUGAAAGGCGGUAGCUUAACUAUCGGAGUGCCCUUGAUACUGAUGAGCUUGAAUGCAGCUGAGGUAGGCGGAAUGUGACAAGUAGCGGUGAAAUGCAUAGAUAUGUCACAGAACACCGAUUGCGAAGGCAGCUUACUAAAG
rnacentral:rRNA from 1 species